UGGGGAAUAUUGCACAAUGGGCGCAAGCCUGAUGCAGCCAUGCCGCGUGUAUGAAGAAGGCCUUCGGGCUGUAAAGUACUUUCAGUCGGGAGGAAGGUGGUAAGGUUAAUAACCUUGGCAAUUGACGUUACCGACAGAAGAAGCACCGGCUAACUCCGUGCCAGCAGCCGCGGUAAUACGGAGGGUGCAAGCGUUAAUCGGAAUUACUGGGCGUAAAGCGCACGCAGGCGGUUGAUUGAGUCAGAUGUGAAAUCCCCGGGCUUAACCCGGGAAUUGCAUCUGAUACUGGUCAGCUAGAGUCUUGUAGAGGGGGGUAGAAUUCCAUGUGUAGCGGUGAAAUGCGUAGAGAUGUGGAGGAAUACCGGUGGCGAAGGCGGCCCCCUGGACAAAGACUGACGCUCAGGUGCGAAAGCGUGGGGAGCAAACAGG
rnacentral:rRNA from 1 species